UCAGAAGUGUCGUUUAUUUUAAUCUCUGCUCUCACAAUAACCACAAACUACAGUGAUCCUGAAAGUUGUGACGAGCAAAAGACAAGAAGCGCCCACGAUCAGACCCGGAAUGGAAUCAGGACCAGAAUCAGGGCCAAGUCAGGGAAAGAACCAAGUCCAGUCCAUCCACAGAAGGCACACGUUUCCACUGCCACCUGCUUUAGUUCAUCACUGGAGAUGCUGAUUCAGUUAGGAUCACUGGCUGAUUUCCCCAGGAUCGCUGGCUGAUUUCACCAGGAUCGCUGGCUGAUUUCACCAGGAUCGCUGGCUGAUUUCACCAGGAUCGCUGGCUGAUUUCACCAGGAUCGCUGGCUGAUUUCACCAGGAUCGCUGGCUGAUUUCACCAGGAUCGCUGGCUGAUUUCCCCAGAAUCACUGGCUGAUUUCCCCAGGAUCGCUGGCUGAUUCCACUGGCAGAUUUUACCAGGUCUUUAAUUCAGGUACUGAAGCUCAACUGGGACAUGAUCUUAACAGAGACAAAAGUCGGUGAGUUCCAGCCGUGAUUCUGGUCUGUUUGGACAAUUCCCCCAGGUCUGCGAUACAUUUACUAAAUCCCAAGAAUCCACAGGCAACAUUUGCAGUCAUUUUAAUACUGAACAGAUCAUCUGACACAACGUAACGAGAACAGCCCAUAAACACCUGAAGCUGAAGAUUAAGAAGUUAAAAACAGAGAUCAAAGAGGCUGGGGGAUGGGAGGAGGUGUCAGACGUGGGAACAGGGGGAAGACGAGUGUCUGGGAGGGAGGGGAGGGCAGAGAGCAGCGCAGAGGUGAAAGGGAGGGAGAUGGGAGUGGGUGAGGGGAGAGGAGGGCAAGAAGAUAAAAAUAGAUGUGGUGGAAGAUUUUGGAUUGGGCUGGGGAGAAAGAGAGAACAGUGAGGGACGGAGGGAGGAAUGGAGGGAGUUAGGGUGGUGGAGGGAGAUAGGGAGUGAGAGGGAGUUAAGGAGAUGGAGGGAGAUAGGUUGGUGGAGGAUCAGAGGGAGUGGGAGGGGGUUAGGGAGAGGGAGGGAGAUAGGUUGGUGGAGGAUCAGAGGGAGUGGGAGGGGGUUAGGGAGAGGGAGGGAGAUUGGGCAGAGGGAGAUGGGGAGUGGGAGGCAGAUCGGGAGGCAGUGGGGCAAUAGCCUGUGUUUUACCCCAGACCACUGACUGCAGGAGAGGUGAGCUCCGAGGAUGAGCAGGCUGUUGAGGUCAGGGUGACCAUUCACCCCAUUCCCUACCGCACACCUCCAGCCAGGAGGGUGGCGGGCACGCAGCACACUCCCGCACUAUAACCACGGAGUUUUGAUUGGCUAUCCACUGAGCGUGUGUGGCUCCUGUGGAGACCAUCUCCAGCGGAGUCCACAUUCUGUGUGAUACGACCCCUGGGAUUAGCAGCAAGAUCCCCAGCACAGACUGCAUCAUUCCCAAUCCCAACCCAAAUAACCCACUCCCCUCAAACGAUUCUGGCUACACACAGACUGAAGCCCCCUCUACACUGUCCCACCACACACUCCCAGGGCAGAUCAGAAUGGGUUCAAUAUGAACAGAACUUGCAUAGCGCCUUCCAUGGAUCUCCCAAAGCCCCGUCCAGCCCACUGAAUCCCUCUGAGGUGUAAGCACUGUUACAAUUUAAUAGGAAUUGCAGUUGUCUGUCUGCCCAGAUUUGAGGAUAAUGGGUGGGAACCAGAGACAUUUCCUUGCUCUUCUUCAAAUUACGAACAUACAAAUCCGGAGCAAGUGUGGAGCCCUCCGUUCGCCACCCCUGCUCUGUAACCUCACUCCAGAUUCCUGACUACCCUGGCAAGCGUUCACCUCACUGAUUAUAAAGAAUCUAUCGACCUCUGCCUUCAGAAUAUCCAGACGCUCUUCCCACCGUCCUCUGAGAAAGAGUUCCAAAGACUCCUAAAGACUCAUCUCCGUCUUAAGUAGACCACCCCUUAUUUUUAAACAGUGACACCUAGAUCUAGAUACUCCCACAAGAGAAAACAUCCCCUCCACACCCAUCCUGCCAAGACCAUACAUGAUCUCAUGUGCUUCAAUCAACUCCUGUCUCACUCUCUUAUUCAGCCUGUCUUCAUACCAUAACCAAUUCCAGGCAGUGCUCUGGAAAAUCUUUUCUGAACUGCUUCCAAUGCAUUAAUAUCUUUCCUUAAAAAGAGACACCAAUACCUUACACAGUAGUUCAGAUCCCCUUUACAGCAGAAAUAUAAUCUCCCUACUUUUGUAUUCAAUUCCCUUUGCAAUAAACAAUAACAUUCUGUUAGCUUUCCAAAUUACUUGCGGUAAUUGCACACUAGCCUUCUGUGAAUCAUGUGCCAGACACUCGAUCCCUCUACAUCUCAGAGCUCUGCAGUCUCUCUCCAUUUAGAUAAAAUACUUUUCUAUUUUUCCUGCUUCAAAAUAGCCUCAUGGGAACAUUUAUUUACCGGUGAGAGAGGAGAUGGGCGUGGGCUUAAUGUGUUAUCUAAAAUAUGGCACCUCAGCCGGUGAAGCACUCCAGCACUGCAUUGCAGUAAAGUUAGUUUAAGAGCUGAGACUGUGCAUUCACCACUCUGAGGCCAGCAGCAGCAUCUCCAAAUCUGUUCUUGUUAAAGAGAGAAAAAAUAUACGUUAGGCACAGAGUGAAGCUCCCUCUACACUGUCCCAUCGCACACACCCAGCGCAGGUCAGACACAGAGUGAAGCUCCCUCUACACUGUCCUGUCACACACUCCCAGCGCAGGUCAGACACAGAGUGAAGCUCCCUCUACACUGUCCCAUCGCACACUCCCAGCGCAGGUCAGGCACAGAGUGAAGCUCCCUCUACACUGUCCCAUCACACACUCCCAGCACAGGUCAGACACAGAGUGAAGCUCCCUCUACUCUGUCCUGUCACACACUCCCAGUGCAGGUCAGACACAGAGUGAAGCUCCCUCUACACUGUCCUGUCACACACUCCCAGGGCAGGGACAGUACGAGUAGAGACAGAGUGAAGCUCCCUCUACACUUUCCAGUCACACACUCCCAAGGACAAGGUAGCGAGGGGGGGCAAGGAGGGCUGAGGAUAUCGUGGUAAACUUGCUCCUGGGGCUAGCUAAGGUGGCUAUCCGUGGGUCCUGGAAGCAGGUAGCAGAAGGUGCUGCCCGGGCGGACUGCCUCGAGAUGUUUCGAGAUUAUGUUUGUGCCCGGGUAGCUGUCGAGAGGGAAUAUGCAGUGUCCACGGGUACCAUGGAGGCGUUCUGGGACCGUUGGGCACUGCGGGGGAUAAGUGCCAUCCUUGGUGGGGAUGGGGAUACUUUAGUUUAGAUGUGUUAGUGACUGUGUUUAGUCACUGUUAUUGUCUGUUUGUUGUAGUUUUGUAGUAUUGUAGAUUGUGUUUUGUAAUAAAGGAAUUAAAGAAGAAAGGACAAGGUAGCAUGGAUACAUAAUGGGUGGGCUAGAAAGUAAAUCAGCCUUUGCCAGCUUCUCACUAUUCAAUAAGUGCUUUUCCUUUUUCUGUGCAAUGUGAAGAUUCUCACAUUUUGCUACUUAAUGCUCUGUCUCCCACUGUCUCACUCCAUCAGCUCCUACCUGGAUUCCUUUGCAGACCACGUCACAUCUCACUUCCCACCCAGUUUAAGUAUUUGCCAACGUGCGACACAUUACGCUUCAUCAAAGCCAUGGCUACAGACAGACAGAGUUAUGGCCCUCGGUGUCCCAACACCCCACUGACUGCACCUCUACAACCCGACAAAGACCUGCUGAUUCUGACUCUGUUUUCUGUCACUGAACCAAUCGCUUACCCGCAUUUUCAGAAACCACCUUUCAUUUGGUACUUUAUCAAAUGGCUAUUAAAAUCCGUACACUACAUCUGCCGCUCAUCGGCCCAUCUAUAUACUGUUAAAUCUGCCAAAGACCAGCUUCACUCUGCCUCACCACCACCUUCUGCAUCCCUGUGUUCUGUUACCAUGGAAUAAAACAUUCCAGCAUUUUUGUAAACACGGAGCUCAGGCAAACUGCCCCCAGUUCCAUAUUUUCUCUCUCCCCUCCUUUCAGAAAUGCCAUUUAUUUUGGCACCUUUCCAAUGCCCUUGGACCACUGGACCGAGGUAGUCUGAGGGGUCCCUGAUGAUGCAUCCACUGCCUUCCAGUCCUCUCAGGGUGUGAGCCAUCAGCUCCUGGGACUCUGUCAGAUUCAGACUCCUUAAUCUGCCCGGUUUGUUUUCUUUUGCAAUAGUUAUUACUCUCCUUCCUACCCUUAGAUCCUUGCUUAGCUCCGAUUUCUAAUAUGUUUUUAUGUCUUCUGCUGUGCAAACUGAUACCUGCCAUCUCCACAUUCCCCAUCGCUAAUUCCCAUCUCCACCUCCGCGACGUGUAGGCUGCUUGGGCUACACUCUCCCCAGUCCGUCCCCGGGCACAAAUUCACAGCCUGACUUCAUAUUUCCUACCAGCUUCCUCUCACUUACUAAUUUUCCUUUAUCAAUUAUUUUGAUUCUUUGCUUGUUGCUACAAUGCUCAUGCCCUGACAACACUUGUAGCGUCCUUAACCUUUUUAAUUGGUCUAGGAUCAGUCACUUCCCCUACAGAGAUUUUUCCUCUCCAGCAGAAUCAAUUGAUAGCAUUCAAACUUUCACUUGAAUGAUUGCAACAACUUAUCUGCUGUCUAUUAUUUUUAAUUUGCUUUCGUACCCAGCCUUAAGCAGCACACCUAUCAUGUCUACUUGAUGCCUUGUUAUUUAGCUUUAAGACACUAAUUUUGGACACUGGAGCACUCUGAGACAAGAUUUUUAAAUUAUAUCUCACUAUGAUCACAUUUCCUGGACCAUGGGUUAUUUUGUGUUUACAAAUUCAUCUUGUCUCAUUACAAAAGGGAGGUCUAAAACAGCCUCAUCGUCUGAUUGGUUCCAUGAUAUUUUGCUCUAGAAAAACCACUGAAAUGCAUUGUAUCAAAUCAACUCCCAAACUGCUCUGCCAGUUUGGUUUGUUGAAUCUAUAAGAUGAACAUCAGCAAGUUGAUCAGGUAUGAUAGCCGAGCGCUUCAGUUUCUGCACUUUAACUACAGGCACGUCACUGACAGAAAUCAGUCUUUAUAUAUUUAUCUUGCUUCUUAAUUUUUGUAAUGUUUUAAAUUUUGCUAUAAUAAAUUAUGUUUUACUCUUUUUAAUACUAUUUCUCCUACACAUAUCUCCGUCCCUGAUGCACCAACACUUAGAUCCAUCCAGGUGUUGGGCCACAAUCUAGAUUAGAAUUUGGUUCUUUGAUCAAUAGUUCCCUACGAACAGCAAGCUAGCGUUUGUACACUGUACUGGACGUGGACAAGCAUGUUAAAACUUAACGAGUACACUGGCUUCAGUGACUAAUAACAAUGCUGGCAAAUUCAGAUUCAGCUGACAGUGACCAUGAAAUUACUGCAUUCACUGGUUCACCAGUGUCUCAGGGAAGGAAAUCACUGUCCUCACUGCCUGAAGGUUCACCACACCCAAGAUCGGUGACUCUAAACGGCUACGGAUCAAUUAGUGGAGGGUGAUAAGUCCUGGCAAUGCAUUAAUAGGUCAGUGCGUGACCCACUGCCGCAGAGGGUGAAAGGUCAGUGCGUGACCCACUGCCGCAGAGGGUGAAAGGUCAGUGCGUGACCCACUGCCGCAGAGGGUGAAAGGUCAGUGUUUCUUUAUGUGAUACAUUCCUGAGGCACUGUCACAUUAACUAACCCCACCCCUCCCAUUCAAACCCCACCCUAUUGUACGUCAACCGCACUCUCCCUGCCCCAUGUGUCUGCC